AUGGACAAGCUACUGUUUGGGUUUCUGUCCUCACUAGCCUCGUGGAAGCCAUUGCUCAGACAAACAUGAUUGGGAAGGUGUUUAUUUUUCCUAAAGAAUCUAAUAGUGCUCACGUGAGCUUGAUCACACAGCUGGAGAAAUCUACAGAACUUCACUGCGUGUCUUCAUGCUUAUACCGACCUCUCCCAUGGCUAUCGCCUCUUCUCCUACAGCAUCCAGACCAAGAGCAAUGAGAUGGUCAUUUUUAAGUCUCAAAUUGGGGAGUACAAUCUUAUCAUUGGGGGUGACAAGGUUUUCUUCAAGGUCUGUGAGAAUUUCCCCACCCUGGUGCACAUCUAUGCCAGCUGGGAGUCCUCCUCAGGCAUUGCUGAGUUCUGGGUCAGUGAGAAGCCUUAGGUGAGGAUGGGGCUAAGGCAGGGUUUCUCUGUGGGAGCUUACCCCAAGAUUGCCCUGGGUAGCAGCAGGGUUCCUAUGGAGGCAAGUUUGGUAAGAGCCAGUCCAUUGUGGGAGAGAUUGGAGAUGUGUACAUGUGGGACUCUGUGCUGUCCCCAGAAGAAAUCUGGUUUGUGUAUCAAGGUAUCUACAUCAAACCCAAUAUUCUGGACUGGCGGGCAUUGAACUAUACAAUGCAAGGUUAUGUGGUCACCCAGUCCCAUAAAUAGAGUU
rnacentral:lncRNA from 1 species